UCACCCCUGGAGCCCUGGGGUGAGCCCCUUCCCUGGUCCCUGAGACCCCCCACCCCUGGUCCCUAUGUCCCCCGGGGAGAGCCUCCUCCUCUGCCCCCUUCUCCUCGGGUAGAACCUUCCCCCCCCCGGUUCCUAAGCCCCACAGGGGAAGCCCCUUCCUCUGUCCCCUUCUCCUCAGGCAAACACCACCCCUAGUCCUGAAGCCCCCCCCAGGGGAAGCCCCCUUUUCCACCCCCUGCCUCAGUUUCCCCUCACACAACAACUCCCUCCGUCCCCUCGGCAUCCCUCACGUCGGCCUCAUCGUCAGGACCCUGAAAGGUCCCGUUAUCACCCCGUUUUCCCCUUGGGGCAGCUCCUGGGGGGGUCGCUCAGGAUGCAGGCACCCCACACGGGGUGGGUGGGGAGCGGGAAGAGGAGCUCGGGGGGGAGCGUGGGAAGCCCGAGCUGGGGGAGACGUUCCUUGUUUUGAUAGAAAUUGCUAUUUUGUGUUUCUCCAGGCUGGGCCCUUAUCGGCUCCCGGCGCGAGGGAGAAGGUGCCGGCUCCGGGCGAGGGAACCCGCCGCUGGGAAGGAGCUCCCGGAAGAUGGAUCCCGGCUGGAGCGAGCCCCCGGAGGAGCCAGCGAGCCGGCGGCCGGUGGACAACGGGCUGAGCCCGGAGCUCCGGGCGGAGAAAUACCUGGAGAAGGGGAAGCUGCUGGGGCCGGCGCUGAGCCGCAUCCGGAGCGAGCUGGCCCUGCCGCUGGAGCUGCCCCAGGACCUGCCCCCCGGCUACCUCUGCCACCAGCGCCGCUCCCUGCCCGCCCGCCCCCCGCUGCCCGCCCCCCCGCUGCCCCCCGAGCUCCGGUAAGUACCGGGAGCCGGUUAUGGGGGGGGGGGGGGGGAGGGAUCGGCCAUGGCGUCCCCCCACUCCCCCAAACCCCCCCACCCCCAUCCUCCUCGUCUCUUCCAGGGCCAGCUCGGACGUUCUCUGCGCCGGCCACUUCCCGGCGGGGCUCAGCCGGUUGGUGACCGGUAUGCGGAUCCCCGCCCCGGGCUCGCCGCCGUUGCGCCGGGGUAGCCCCCCGGUACCGGGAGGGGGGGGAGCGGGGAGGUGAAGGGAGCCCCUCCCCGGUGCGGGAGUGGAGGGGAAGGGGGUGUCUCUGCGGAAAUAAAGACUCCCCCGAGGGGAAGCCGCGGUCGGGC
rnacentral:lncRNA from 1 species